CCUACGGGUGGCAGCAGUGAGGAAUAUUGGUCAAUGGACGCAAGUCUGAACCAGCCAUGCCGCGUGCAGGAAGACGGCUCUAUGAGUUGUAAACUGCUUUUGUACGAGGGUAAACGCAGAUACGCGUAUCUGUCUGAAAGUAUCGUACGAAUAAUGUUCGGCAAACUCCGUGCCAGCAGCCGCGGUAAUACGGAGGAUUCAAGCGUUAUCCGGAUUUGUUGGGUUUAAGGGUUGCGUAGGCGGUCGGAUAAGUCGGGGGUGAAAGCCCGAGGCUCAACUUCGGAAUUGCCUAUGAUACUGUUCGGCUAGAGAGUAGUAGCGGUAGGCGGAAUGCAUGGUGUAGCAGUGAAAUGCUUAGAGAUCAUACAGAACACCGAUGGCGAAGGCAGCUUACCAGGCUACUACUGACGUUGAGGCACGAAGGCGUGGGGAGCAAACAGGAUUAGAUACCCUUGUAGUC
rnacentral:rRNA from 1 species